rnacentral:rRNA from 1 species
AUUGAACGCUGGCGGCAUGGCUAAUGCAUGCAAGUCGUACGAGAACCACUUCGGUAGGGACAGUGGCGAAAGGGCGAGGAAUACGAUCGAAUGUACCCCGAGGUGGGGGAUAGCGUCGGGAAACUGACGGUAAUACCCCAUGUACUCUACGGAGAAAAGCCUUGGUGCCUUGGGAGCAGCGAUCGUCCUAUCAGGUUGUUGGUGAGGUAAAGGCUCACCAAGCCGAAGACGGGUAGCGGGUGUGAGAGCAUGACCCGCCGCAUCGGGACUGAGACACUGCCCGG